UGGCAACCCGUUUGGGUCCCCUUUCACACUGUGGAGGCUUUGUUCUUUCGCUCUUUGCAAUAAAUCUUGCUACUGCUCACUCUUUGGGUCCACACUGCUUUUAUGAGCUGUAACACUCACCGCGAAGGUCUACAGCUUCACUUGUGAAGCCAGCGAGACCACGAACCCACCGGGAGGAAAGAACAACUCCAGACGUGCCGCCUUAAGAGCUGUAACACUCACCGCGAAGGUCUGCAGCUUCACUCCUGAGCCAGCGAGACCACGAACCCACCAGAAGGAAGAAACUCCGAACACAUCUGAACAUCAGGAGGAACAAACUCCCGACACACCGCCUUUAAGAACUGUAACACUCACCGCGAGGGUCUGCGGCUUCAUUCUUGAAGUCAGUGAGACCAAGAACCCACCAAUUCCAGACACACUGGGACCAGCAAUUCCCCUGUGGCGUGAGCUGGUUUAAAUGCUCUCUCCAGGGACAGGUGUCAGCUGAGUUUGGUCUGCUUAUUAUUUCUGCUUUAACAAGGCAGCACUGAGUUCAAUGCCUUACAACUGCUGAGUUCUCCUCUCCAAUGCACAGAAACGCUCUCCAGACUGCUGCUGCCGGGGGUUGGAGGAGGCAUGGCAUCAGUGAUUCAAGACUCUUUUUCAUACCUCUUCGGUGCUGCUUUCAGUGAUAUGAAGUUAAAACCUGGUAUUUGAUUUAUCCAUACACUAAAGAUAUGAAUGAGGCAUCAAAAGACAGAAGAAACGAUUGAGGCUAUAAAACUUGCCAACUACCUUGACCUUAGCCCAGUGGAACAGAAUUCAGACUCCUGACCACAAGAAUGAUGAUGGUUUGCAUGCAGUUUGAUAUCCAGUUGUAUCCAGUUUACAAAUGGUCUGGUUCAGAGGAUUCAAGACAUCUACUUCACAUGUCUGGUGCCUUGUCAGUGUUCCUAGAAGACUGGCUUCAUCUGAUCAACCAGAGCACCUCCAUGAGUCCCUGUUGCAUAAGUGAUCUAAGCUUGUCCUCUAGGAAGCAGAAUCCAAGAUAAAGUAAGAAUGUGUGACAAUGUUUGGAGACUUCUGACUGUGAAAGACUGGGCAAGCGGGGGCAGCGAGAGCUUCAGCCCAUAGUAGAGAUGGAAAGAGAAUUGAGUAGAAGAGCCUCAGCCUGCGGUGCAACUGCGAGCGUCUUAGCCUGCCUAAUGGGAGCUUAUGGAGCAGAGGUGACCUACAGAGGGAAAAGCCAGCUGCCAUGUUGUGAAACACUCAAGCAGUCCCGACGGAGCUCCAGGUUGCCAGGAUCUGGAGCUUCUUCCAACAGCAAAGUGGGUGAGGCAUUCUGGCAGCAGAACCUCCAGACUCAUCAACCACCCGAUGAUAGCAGCGAGAGCAACAUGUUGACGGCAGCCUGAAGAGACUCUGAAUCAGACGACCGAGGUAAGCCACACUCAAAUUUCAUACACACACAGGAAAAAUAAUUCAUUCUUCUUUCGACCUGCUGCAUGUGGGGAUAAUUUAUGACAUGGUAGUAGAUAAUUCAGUCACUGCCACCUUCUUCAGUCAUUAUCUGUGGACUGCCUGGGAAGAGUGUGGGAUAGCUCCAACACUGUAGUGGAUCCCGAGCUUGCUGAGCUAGAGGAUAUUAGCUUACUGCUUCCCGAAGGUGACUGGCACAAUCUUUCUGCAAGGAAAGUUUGAGUGUAUACUCUCAUGAUUGCCACAAAGAACACAGGACUCUUUCAGGCAUUUAUUCUUAGCUAAGUCUACCCAUACCUUCGGGAUUUCUUUUGUGUUCGUGCGUACUGUUUUCUAGUUUCCCCCAUGGUCUCUUUAAACAUUUAUUAUUUCCAUUGGGUUGUUUAAAUCUUUUUUUUUUUUUACUAUUAUAAGUGAAGUGUUUUCUCUAAUCUCUAUUGUUUCUACUACAGCGUGUACAUGUGAAGGCUAUAGAUUUCUCAGAACUAAUUUUAUACUCUACUAUCUUACUGAAUAUUUGUAUUGUUUUAAAUGGCUUUCUAGUUUGUUCUCGAGUUUUAAAGUGAUAUUAUUAUAUCACCCUCAAAAUGUGAUAGUUUUACUAAUUAUCUUUACCUAUCCUUCAUCUAUUUUCCUUUUCAAAUUGCAUUAAUCAAUUUUUCUAGUCCAUUAAUAAAUAGUGGUGGUAUCUAUCUUCUUGUCUCAGUCUUCUGUUUAAAGAAAGCACUUUCAGUGUUUUUAUAUUCACCAUUUUGUCUGUGUUUGUCUCAGAAGAACAAUUAUUGGCAAAAAUUCCCAAUGUUUGUACCCUAUAUGCUCCAAGGAAUUUCACCUUUUUCUCCUCCUCAAGAAUUAGGGAGGUUUACUUAAAAGCACAUAGAACUAUCACAAUCCUGUUGUCCAGAUGCCUUGAAGAACACAGAAAACAAAAUAUUCUUAUGCUUUUCUAGUAGGCUCAGAUAUGCAUUUUUUGAUGUUGUUAACUUGAUUAAAUCUAUCUACGAUUUUACUUCUCUGGCCAAUAAAAUCUAAAAUUUAUUAACAUGCAUCUGACUGUGGCUGUUAUGUUUAUUUUAUGUUUUAUUUGUGACCAACAUGCCCAAGGACAAUUUGGGUUUCACUGUUUGAUAAGUGAUAACACUGAUGGAAAAUUAAGAAUUUGAAAAUUCU
rnacentral:lncRNA from 10 species